rnacentral:tRNA from 1 species
GUGGCUCCUGGUUAUGUCCGGGCAAUCGGCUGUUAACCGAUUGGUCGUAGGUUCGAAUCCUACC